CCGAGGGCGAAGGAGGCAGGAAGGGGAGGAGGCAGCGGGCGGAGAGAGGACACUCGGCUGCCAUCAUUUAAGCCUCUUGAUUAUUUAAACUUCUGCAGAAUAAUGAUUGCAUAUUUGAAGAUCUGCAGGUCACUGUGCGACUCUAACAGCAGCCUGCGGAGAUCUGCGCUGGAGAAACCCAGCACAGGGCUGGCCAGGCUGGGGCCCAGACGCACCGGGCAGUGAACUGACAGCGCAGGCAGAGAGCAGCCCCUCCUCCCGCGCCGCUCUGCUUGGCUCGCUGCAGCCAAAUUUAGGAAAAGAAGAUGCGCUGGGUAUCACAGAACACAUCUCCCUUGAACUGAUAAAGCUAUGCUAUUUCUUGGAUUUCUUUAUGGAAAUAUGAGUCACAGCAAGUACCCUGUUUUCAGAUGGAAACAGUGAGAGAGUGAGACAAGUGAUCCAGGGUCCAAGCUCAAUGCAGGAGUCCCGGACUCUGGGCCACAGUUCUAGGCUUUCAUCUUGAUUAGACAUCAGAGAGUCUAAAGGUCCCACCUCCUAGCACCAUCACACUGCGGUUUGGGCUUCAGCGCAGACCUUUUGCGCGGAUGCAGACACUCAGCCCAUAACCAGGAACUGCCCAAACUUUAUGGCAGAACGUUCAGGCUUAUAAAACAUUGGGCCACCCUUCACUUUUACAUUUGGACACAACAUGAGUGUUCUAACUGCAUUAUGACACCAAGUAGGAGAAGAGGCUAAGACAGAACACGGAAAAUGAAUGACGUAGGCAGUGCUGCUGACUAGGACUGAAACAUUUCAGAAGACAGGUGUACAUGAGUUUAGAAGCAGAGAAGGUGGCGGUGAGUGUCCAGGAAAGCAAUGAGCAAUCCUAAGCACAGAACACUGGAAAAUAACCUCCAGCACAAUCACUGACAUGGAGACUGUGAUGGGGAGCCAGCGCUAUCACAGUCCACCCCUUCAGUGCCUCUGUGUGAGUGUGCCGCAUGUACUAGGGGUGGGGGUGGAUGCAACAGGGCCCACCAAACCUUUCUUCUUUGUUGCUCUUCUGUGUAUGGCUUUAUUUAAAUAAAAGUUCUACUGAACACUUCGAAGUCCAGCUUUCUACAGCUCAUUGUUCUACUCUUAUGUUUCAUUGCUCUGGCCUGUUCAUUUUUUUUAGCUUUCUUCACA